rnacentral:rRNA from 1 species
AUUGAACGCUGGCGGCAGGCCUAACACAUGCAAGUCGAACGGUAACAGGAAACAGCUUGCUGUUUCGCUGACGAGUGGCGGACGGGUGAGUAAUGUCUGGGAAACUGCCUGAUGGAGGGGGAUAACUACUGGAAACGGUAGCUAAUACCGCAUAACGUCGCAAGACCAAAGAGGGGGACCUUCGGGCCUCUUGCCAUCGGAUGUGCCCAGAUGGGAUUAGCUAGUAGGUGGGGUAACGGCUCACCUAGGCGACGAUCCCUAGCUGGCCUGAGAGGAUGACCAGCCACACUGGAACUGAGACACGGUCCAGACUCCUACGGGAGGCAGCAGUGGGGAAUAUUGCACAAUGGGCGCAAGCCUGAUGCAGCCAUGCCGCGUGUAUGAAGAAGGCCUUCGGGUUGUAAAGUACUUUCAGCGGGGAGGAAGGGAGUAAAGUUAAUACCUUUGCUCAUUGACGUUACCCGCAGAAGAAGCACCGGCUAACUCCGUG